CGAGCGGGUAAGUUUCAAAACAGAAAUGGCGACCGAAAGAAUCGAGGCAUUACUGGAAAGGACUGAUCCCAACAUCUUAAAAUCAUGCAACACCACAGAACUGCAAGAAACAGGAGAGGGAGAAAUCAUGGCUCCUUAUCUGAUGGACUGCAGACGUAAACAGAAGCAUAUAUUCAGACAGCUGUGUGUAGUGGAUGACAUGGUAAAGCUGUUGGCAGG